CCCUUAGAUGUUCUGGGCCGCACGCGCGCUACACUGACGAAUGCAACGAGCUUAUAACCUUGGCCGAAAGGUCUGGGUAAUCUCCAAAUUUCGUCGUGAUGGGGAUAGAUUAUUGCAAUUAUUAAUCUUCAACGAGGAAUGCCUAGUAAGCGCAAGUCAUCAGCUUGCGUUGAUUACGUCCCUGCCCUUUGUACACACCGCCCGUCGCUCCUACCGACUGAAUGGUCCGGUGAAGCGUUCGGACCGUGGCCUUUGGACGGUUCGCCGUCUGUUGGCUGCGGGAAGUUCGUUAAACCUUAUCAUUUAGAGGAAGGAGAAGUCGUAACA
rnacentral:rRNA from 1 species